UGAACAAAUAUAUGUUCAAGAGAGCUUCCAUAAUCCAAACAGAUGAAGAUCAAUUGAUAUAUCAACCCAGUGUUUUACCAUACUUUUUAAGUCUGCAUCUGCUAGAGCCUCCAGGAUCUUAGCUCCAUGGCAGCCUGUAUGACAAGCUGUUGAAGAUGUGGGAACUAUGGAAGCCUUGGGUCCUUCAUGGUGUACCAGUUUUCUCUUAAGCGAUUCGUUGCAGCAACUGUAUAAAUCGAGCAGUAUAUCAUUUGAUGGGAGAGUUCUCAGGCUAUCCUGUUUUAUGCCUUCUUCCCUUCAAUACCAGCUCCUUUCUCUGUUAAUUGCUGCACUAUAUUGAGAAUCUGGUCAUCAAAUGAAGAGGGCAGGGGAGAACUACUUACUCCCAAAAGUACAGCAUUCAAACAGGAGGAGCUUCAGCUGGUCUGAAAGGAGUGGUAAGGAGAAGCAUAACAGUAAAUAGCACUGUACAAGGUCAAGUAUUAGGGGCUGACAUUCAGUAGCAGUACGUGUGGGUUUUAGUCCACAAAAUACUUGUCUGUGUAUUUGCAAUAUCUCCUUGUUCUAAAAUCUCAUUAUACAUUGACAGUUUAUCAAUGCUGUGCUCUUAUAGUGAUAAUUUACCAAUAUAUUGAUGACAACAUCAACAACACCAUUGUAGUUUAUUAUGGCAAAUCUUAUACAUCUGUGAAAAGAAAACAAUGUCACUGAACAACAGAUCACUUGAACACCUGAUUUUAGUUUAUCUCUGCUUAGUUACAGGUAGAAUGAUCCAUUUACCUUAGGGUUUUAUGCUGUCACCUAUCGCUGCAGUAUCUUAGCAUUUUUCUUGUAAAAGAAAUAGCGAUAGCAAUCGAUGGAGUCUCUGACGCUUCUUUUUCAGGCAAAAACCUUCUGCCUGGAUUCACAUUUCUGGUUUUGAGGGGUAGGUACUGGUACAGGUUUAGGAGUAAAAGAAAGUAUCAUUGUUGUGACAAUCAUAUUUAUGAUGGAAACAUUUUCUGAGGACAGCUACUACAUGCAAUCAAUAGAGCAUUGUCUGUAGUUCAUCGGGAAGCAAGGUGGUUUGCAAUCCAGGAUUCUUUGUUGCUGUUACUGAAGGGAAAGCCGCUUUAAUAACAGACAAGAAUUAUACUAAAAUAAUGGUUGUGACAGAACCCUUCUUCCCCCCCCCCAAAACCGAACAAACCAAACCUAUCACCUCAACAUCAAUAAUAUAAUCCUCUAUUUAAUAUGCCUUGUACAGGAACCUGCUUUCUGCAUGGAUGCAGUGUUGGUCCCCAAUAUACAACAGUCGAAGGACUGGGCUUGAAAGAAAGCACCAGGGUUUUCUCCCACCUGACUUACAGGACAGAAGGAAAUUUGCAUCCGUUCAGGAAAGAACUUCUGAUUUAUUACCACCCAAAUCACUUGCUUUUUCACUUAUGUCCCAGCAUUUACAUUGAGAAGUCUGUACAUUUUAUGGUAUAUAAAAGUAGUACUGUCAGGGAAUUAAUUAAACAGUAUUGGCCUCCGGACUGAGCAUUUGUUAGCAGUUAAUGACAAGAGAUCCAGUCCUGUAAACAUAUCCAUAAGUGCUUCACUUGAAGAUCUAGAGAAGUUCUGUUGAUUUGGGAACUUCUCAGGGUCAUAAAUUUAAGGACAUAUGUAAAUAUUUGCAGGAUUAGGGCCUAGCCAAAGGAAUUGACAGCCUUCAUUAACCCAGCUGGACAUGUCUACGCCAAAGGACAUGAAUGCUUUUAUAUGGAUGUAAAGCUCAGAUUGCUUUUUACAUUCAAAGCACCUGUCCUUGUUUAGGAGACGGAGACUGGUACGCUGUCAAAAAUUCAGCCGACACUCUUUACUAGGCCUGUAAAAUUAUGAUGUUAAUUUUGAAUCUGACUUAUUCAAACUGAGUUCAGUUCCCUGGUGUCCCUGGCAACCAUAUCAUAAAAUCCAGUUCCUGGAUAAAUUUUAAAAUAAAUGAAUGAAUCCUUAAUAAAUGUAUCGAGCUCCAUCUUAAAACUAGUUUGGGUGUUUGCCUUCAGUGCCCCUAUUGGAAGGCUUUUCUGUUGCUAUUCUGAUGGUUGCAAACUUCCUUCUGUUUAUGUGUGGCAAGGUUAUUAGGGACCCUGUCUACUUCAGUGUAUUCUUAUUUAAGCAGGAAUUGUAUAAAACCUGAGAGAGUGAGAAAGAAAAUGUUUCCAUUUAAAACAAAAUGAGUGGCAAUAAUUGUUUUAAACAAAUAAACCCAAACCUAUUAUGGAAGCACUGAGACCGGAAAGUCAAGCUGCCUAUAACUAAGAAUAGGUAAAGGACUUAAUGAUUUUUUAUUAUCAAAACAGGGAGAAAUGCAGUCAGUAAAGAGCACAAAUCAGAUGAUUAGAAGUAAAAACAAAUAAAAACAUUCCUGGAAACACUGAAGCAUGCAUGUACCAUGGCAUUGCCUUUACACAAGUACUGCCCUCCUCUUUGACGGGAAUUGCACGCAGGCAGAGUUGCAUGUGAUUAACCCUCCAUGUCUCGAGACUUCAACAAGGCUUUUUACAGUGGAUAGAGAUAAGUACAUUAAUAAAUCUUCACAGGCUGUCAAAUAAAAAAAGACAGCCCCAAUCCUGUAGAGAUAUGGCCCCCUUCCUGCAAAGAUUCUUUCUAUCUAUCUAUCUAUCUAGAUAUAUAUAUCUUUGCAAGUUACAUUUAUACUUAACUAUGCAGAACAGAUUACCAAAGAAGGCUGCAGAGUCUUUAUCACUGGAAGAUCGUGGUGCUGGUCUGGAAAGGUUUAGGCAGGGAUGAUGACCCUGCCUUCAGCAGGAGGUAAAACCUCCUGAAGUCCCUUUCAGAAGUAUUUUUCUAUGAUUUUAUGAUUCAUAUAAUCUCAUUGAAAUCCAUGGGGUGAAGCAUUUACAGAACGGCCCUAAACAAGGCGAGGGCCUGUGAGUUUAAAGUGCAGCGCCACUGAUAUUUGAGCUCUCAGGAGAGGAAAAAGUGAAGUUUUAAAAUGCAUUUGGAUUCAGUUUAUCCAAAAAGCCUAAUUGUGUUGACAGACACUUUUGAUGAUGAACAGUUUUCCAUACAAAAAGGUGGUCGCUUCCAGUACUACUUGUCUU